GGGAAAUGACUCCAUGGUCUUUUAUAGUUCUCCUUCACUUGUGUGUAUCGUUUGGUUGAGUGAUUCUCAGCUCCAGGUCAAAGACAAGCGUUUUACCUGCUCUAGGUUGAUCAUUUGCUCCUGACCCGGAUCAAGUGUGUUGGCAGUACAGAAGCCAUGAAGCUCUGCAGAACAGUGCGGUUUCCAGGACUGGUGAUGAAAGCCCCAGGUCUAAUCUAAACCAGCGAUGGCCAUGCACAGGUACAGUGACGUUUGAAGCGUACGAGGCAGUGGAGAAAAAACAACUAUCAGCGUAAUACAGAGGAACUGAAGCGGCUACAACUGGAUUCAUCAUCAGCACAGUGUCCCCAUGACUAGAGAGGAAUAUCUGCAUCCCACAAUCAGGCCUAAAAAACAAAUCUCCAUGCUCCAUGUGCACUGUAUGCACAUUUUAAUGAUCACACUUGGCCUUGUAACAAUGUGUAUUUCAAUAAUAAUAAUAAUAAUAAUAAUAAUAAUAAUAAUAAUAAUAAUAAUAAUAAUAAUAAACUGUAGACAUUAAACUGUAGUACGAAGCACACUUACUCUCUCCAAUCUGUCCGCUGGUGAAGUGGCGCAUCGCGCACACACACAGCACCAGACCCCAGAAGAAGGUCGGAAUAUUCCUCGUUGUUUCUGGUCUCAUUCCUGUCGCAUUCAGCGGCUUUCUGACCAACAGAAAGGCCUUGUUCCACAUCUAUAAAAACAGUACACCAAGAUUAAAACGAAAGCAGCUCCUUAUGGUCUCUUAGAAUCAGUGAUGGGGGAAAAAAACUAAUCCGCGUUUUCGGUUGCGCUGGAACAAGAUGGACAGACUUGGAAUUAAAUUGUUCCUCUUGAGAAAACAUUCAGAUCGAUGAAGACGUGUUAUUCCUGCCAACGACUGGGACAUCUGAAGCGUCUCGACCCGUGCAGUUCACACGAACGACAAUCCGCAUCUUCAGCCUCCAUUUCAGAGAGAGAGAGAGAGAGAGAGAGAGAGAGAGAGAGAGAGAGAGAGAGAGAGAGAGAGAGAGAG